rnacentral:misc_RNA from 1 species
AUAGAUUUAGAAAGAGGCUGACACAUCUGGUAACUAGUUUACGGUCAUCUGCCUCUAAGCGACAUUUAGGUGCUCUGCCUGGCCCAGACCAUCCACACGCAGGAGGAUCUGCCCAGACCCUCCAUCUCGGCUGAGCCAGGCACCGUGAUCCCCCUGGGGAGCCAUGUGACUUUCGUGUGCCGGGGCCCGGUUGGGGUUCAAACAUUCCGCCUGGAGAGGGAGAGUAGAUCCACAUACAAUGAUACUGAAGAUGUGUCUCAAGCUAGUCCAUCUGAGUCAGAGGCCAGAUUCCGCAUUGACUCAGUAAGUGAAGGAAAUGCCGGGCCUUAUCGCUGCAUCUAUUAUAAGCCCCCUAAAUGGUCUGAGCAGAGUGACUACCUGGAGCUGCUGGUGAAAGGACCCACGCAGAGGCCGUCGGACAACAGUCACAAUGAGCAUGCACCUGCUUCCCAAGGCCUGAAAGCUGAGCAUCUGUAUAUUCUCAUCGGGGUCUCAGUGG